UGUUAAUUAUCCUUGUUUCCCUGUGUACUUAAGUCAUAGUCUAUGCAGUCUGUCUCUGUCGGGUCUACUUGUUAUGUUUAUGUUUCCUGCUGUUCCCAGUGUUGGAUGUACCCUGUGUUUCUUGGAUUAAAGACUGUUUCGUUUAUUCCUCGUCUCCAUCGUUCCUCACCAUCACAGAUUGUGACAGCAGGAAGUUGGGAAUAAUGGAAAGAAGAAUGUAAAGAAGAAAAUGAUGGAAGGUAAAGAAGGAAAAGGAAAAAGGUUCUACCUCAAAUUCCUUAGUAAAGAGAAAAGGAAGGAAGGAAAGUGGAAGGGAAGAAUGAGAGGAAAAAAUGAAUUAUAAAAAAAAGAAAAGACUCAAGGUAUGGAAGGAAAAGGAAAACAGGAACAAUGGAGGAACCAACAGAUGGAAGGAAAGAUGGGAAAAUGUACAAGAACCACUCGAAGACACCCUGUAAUCACUCUCACAAUGAGUCUCAGCUCACUAGGUUUUGCAAGUCUUUCCUUGUUCUUUGUGAAAAAGAGCAAAUUCCCAAAUAUGGUUACGUCACAUUUUGUAGUUGUAACCUAUAGCUAUUCAGAUUGCCUCUGCUGACUAUAUCCAGCCUAUUAUGAAGACUUCAGAUGA
ensembl:lncRNA